rnacentral:tRNA from 1 species
GGCAGUGUGGCUCAGUGGAAAGAGCACGGGCUUGGGAGUCAGAGGUCAUGGGUUUGAAUCCCGGCUCUGCCA